AUGGAGCAGGGGAGCAAGAAUCCGGACGACCCCGGUCAGCUCCCGCUCCCCUGCGCCAGCGGCUGCGGCUUCUUCGGCUCCCCGGACACCGGCGGCCUCUGCUCCAAGUGCUUCCGCGACAGCCUCCGCCGCGCCGAGGCCCUGGCCCAGCUGGAGCUCCAAGCGGCGGCGGCGACGUCCAAGGAGGUGGAGGAGGAGGGGGCGAGGAGGGCAAAGGCAAGGGGCAGGUGCGCGUCGUGCGGGAGGAAGGUGGGCCUGAUGGGGUUCGAGUGCCGGUGCGGCGGCGUGUUCUGCGGCGAGCACCGCUACUCGGACCGGCACGACUGCUGCUACGACUACAGGGGCGCCGGCCGCGACGCCAUCUCCCAGGCCAACCCCGUCGUCAGGGCUGACAAGGUCGACAAGUUCUGA
rnacentral:rRNA from 1 species